rnacentral:rRNA from 1 species
UACGAAGGGGGCUAGCGUUGCUCGGAAUUACUGGGCGUAAAGCGCACGUAGGCGGCUCUUUAAGUCAGGGGUGAAAUCCCGGAGCUCAACUCCGGAACUGCCUUUGAUACUGGCGAUCUAGAGGUCGAGAGAGGUGAGUGGAAUUCCGAGUGUAGAGGUGAAAUUCGUAGAUAUUCGGAAGAACACCAGUGGCGAAGGCGGCUCACUGGCUCGAUACUGACGCUGAGGUGCGAAAGCGUGGGGAGCAAACAGG